UAAUGUGAAGCUUAUGAACAGUGUUAGGAAUCUCAGGGCAGUCCAUAGCUAGCCACCACAGUGAGAACAUCAACGAGUACUGCAGCUUCGGAUUGCUCUGCGCUAUCGAAGUGUCCAAGGCGAGGGAACUUGCAGGGAGAGGGUUGCUGUCCUGGAGUUGGGAAACUUUAGUCAACAUUUUCUACAGUCACAAGCGAUGUCGUCUUACCACUGUUAGCUCAUCUACACCCGAGCUGCCUCAGUAAGAACUCUCUACUUGACAGCAAUGGCUUUUAAAUGAGGCUUGAUCAUCUGGAAGAGUAGCUUGGUGAGGGGCGCAUAAAACCUCUCGGCCUCAACCUUGGAGAACCCAGCAGAGUCCAGGGCAGAAUGGAAGUCACGGUUGAGGCAGCAGCCAUCAAACAGGAAGGGCCAGAUGCCGCUGACAGACAGAAACUGCUGCAGGAUGCUUCUUAUCCAGUGCUUGUCGGGGUUGAACUCCUUGAUGUGCUCCAUAAUGUAAAGCUUGCCACCCUAAAAGAAACAUUGGUCAUGUCACAAACCAACCAAUGACAAACUUGCUUGCCUCACAUGUCCCAACCAAAAGUAACCUCAUCACACACUUAUUGCUGUAAGCAGUGAGUUGAUUCAACAAGCUAACUAAAUUUCUUGGUUAAUUUAACUAUAAAAUGUCGACUACUUGAUAAGUCCCAGAAUCUACAACUUGGCCCCCCUAUGUAAUUUGCAGAGGACUAUGCCUGAAACUAACACCAUUGAAAAGCAACCCAUAGAUUGAUCUAAUAAUAUUAAACAUCUUGCUAUAUCCCUCUUGUAAAUAAUGGCAAGAUAAUGUGGAUGAGGAUGACAGGUGGAAAUAGGAAGGAAUGUUUCAUGAUAAUGUGGAUGAGGAUGACAGGUGGAAAUAGGAAGGAAUGUUUCAUGCAGGGAGUGCCACGUGUAGACCUGACACCUUGAAGCUUCCCUUAUUUCUAUGAUCUUAAGCAUCUGUUAUGGGACUGAGGGGGUGCCAAGAAGAAAAGUGGUGAGUGUGUGGUGCCUUGUCUAGGCCUACUUCAUGUGGAAUUUCCAGCUUGGUAAAGAGAUAGACAGAUACAGUGCUUGCCAAUGCAUUAGUCAAGAACUGGCCACUGACUAAUGCAAUGGCAUGAAUCAGUUCAACCACCCUAACACAAGCCAGUCUGAGCUGAGGUGUGUCAUGUUUGUCUGACAUGUGAAAGGAGGAGACAGAGCAGGGAGUGUAAGGAAGGAGAACCCACCAAUUAGCAAUUACACUAUAGCCAAGCUUGUUGGAGGAUUUUCCGAGUUUUUUGCUCCUUCCUCCCCCUUUUCCUCUGUAUCCAGUUGCCUUUGUAUUUUCUGGUCUAGUGGCUAUAUGGAAAAGGGAAGGGACUUCAACACAUAAAAGAUUUUAUAAUAAGCCUGCACAAAGCAAGGAAUCCUACAAAAGUACCGUACUUGAUGGCUGAUAAGUUUUGGCAGACACUGAAAUGAAAAAAAAAAGUAAAUGAGCAUAUUUAAGCUCUGAAUGUGAACUGAAGGAUUUCACCUGACAUUUGAAGACACUCGCAUGCAUUUAGAUCACUAUUAGAUCCCACUUAAAAACUUUCAUAUUAGCUAGUAGCCUACAAACCAAUCUUGUGAGAUGUAAACAUGUACAGUACCUGGCAUAUGGCAUUGGCACUAAGUCAGAGAGAUUACAAGCUUAAUAAUCAUAAUUUUUCUUUUUUGUAUCAUUUUUUUUUAAUAUGGAUGCAAGAUAAGAAUGUUAAAAGAUAGUGCAGUUUCUUCCUGAAUGGUGUCACUUAUAUGAAUUACUGGUAUGUAUGACUUAUUACAUAUUGUUACCUUUAAAGAAAGACUUAUUUUGUGGUGUACUACCAAUCAUCACUUUGUUUACAUGUGUGACAAUGUC